UACGAAGGGGGCAAGCGUUGUUCGGAAUUACUGGGCGUAAAGGGCGCGCAGGCGGCUGAUCAAGUCAGAUGUGAAAUCCCCGGGCUCAACCUGGGAACUGCAUUUGAAACUGGCAAGCUUGAGUCUCGUAGAGGGGGGUAGAAUUCCAGGUGUAGCGGUGAAAUGCGUAGAGAUCUGGAGGAAUACCGGUGGCGAAGGCGGCCCCCUGGACGAAGACUGACGCUCAGGUGCGAAAGCGUGGGGAGCAAACAGG
rnacentral:rRNA from 1 species